rnacentral:lncRNA from 1 species
GGUCCUUGGGUUGCAUCCUCUUCCUACCUCAGGCUAUGUGUGGAGUGGGGGUGCCCGAGAACAUGCUGAAAAUGGUUGCGCCGGUCGAUCUACAUGUCGUAUGUACUUAAUCUGUCAAAAGUAUGUCGAUCCGAGUGUCGCUAGUUUGCACCGUGUGUGGAUUACAGCCCUUUCCUUCUUUUUUUGCUCUGGUGAUGUGUAAGUAAUUACAGAAUAUGGAGUCAACUCUUUGCCUGUUUGCACUGUCAUGCUACAUGUAUGAUAACUACUACUAGUAGUAUACUUUGGAAUGCUUGCUACUACAAGUUCAUUAUUUUUCUCCUGGGGUUUUGGUUACCGGUAGACAGGAGUUUACUUGAGCGCUUAUCUGGGGCAGCCGCGAGCGCGACACGCGUCCCGCCCGCGGCCAAAAGGACAGGUCCAAAACCGAAAUAACAAUGCAGCUGCUGCAUUGUGUAAGCAUAGUUUUUAGGCCAAGACUUGAGGUCAGCGGGUGGUUUAGUCGCGCGAUUAACAACUGGCGCGGCGCAAUUAUUGAGGCCAAGAUGCCCUAAUCGUGUGGGAACGGGCGCGGGACACCUGUCAUUAGCAUAGAUAAUUGCACGCAGCAGCCAAUCUUAAUCAGAGGCACGACCCUCAUUUCUUUACCAGCAGCACCAGAUACAUGCAUAUGAACAACCCUUAAUCUACUACUGCUGCCUGCUGUGGAUGCAGCUGAUUAGUGCCUGAUUUGCAUUUUGCAAUUGUUAGGGGUGUGUUAGAUGUGUCAUGCACACCACCCCAUUUGAAGUUUGACAAAGCUUAGGUUAUCCAUCCCUGGGGGAUGUGCCACCAUGCUGAUUGAUUAGUGGGCAGUGCUUUGUGGAAAGAAAGGGAAAAAAAGAGAGAGAGAUUAGGGGUUUGCAUACUUAAUUAACUGCUCGCAUUUGGCUUUUGCCCUGUCCUUUUCCUUUUCAGAUUGGAGUGGGGUGGAGGCAUAUGAUAUGAGCAUGGCAGGAUCUUCACUGUACUUUGCAUAUCUUGUAUAUCUAUCUAUAUAUGUAUUUGAUGCAUCUCAGGCAUGGACCACAUGAGUUAGGCGUGCAUCUGUAUGAUUUUGUUCUUCUCCCCAAAUCAACUGUUGCUUGGACAUGCUACGCUGUGUAAUUAAUCAAAUGUGAUUUCAGUGGAAUAGCGAUGUUAUUGUCAAUUUCUGCAACAAUUAUAUCUAUCUAUUGAAUAAGUUUUUUUGCAUGGUAAUACGUGUCUCAUUUAUAUAGAAUAAAGAUCAAGUUACAAGGCACGUAAGCACCGACGAUACUAGAUUGAAACGAUAGGAAAAUCCUAUGCAAAAUUCCAACGUCUGUCCCUCACCUUCGACACCACCGAAGCGGACACCAAAGGGUAAAAAGACAGAUCACCUCUUCACCCAAGCUCGACGCGGCUCCAUCGCUGAUCAGCAACUUUGCGGACCUCCAAAGUGGUUUUCCAGAAGCAAAACCAUAGCCGUUGAAAGAAUCAGACCGGGGCAACAUAUACCCGGACAUGCCAUCAAACUUCAGAACUGACACCCCCGCAUGACGACGACGUCGGAGGAGGAAAGCAGAACUGUCAGCCUUCAACCACAGACCCAACACAAGAUUCUCCAUCUUCCAGCUGUCACUUGCGUAGACAACCGCCUGCGCGUACUCCUGAACGACAAAACCUCCCUGCUCCACCAUGACGUCGGAGACAACGCCAUAGCAACGGGGACAGAGCAGAAGGAGAGACACACCUGAUGGAGUCGUCGCCGCCGCCUCGCCAACACCAUCCAUGAACCCUAACGCUGCCGAUCUGAAGGAUCGGCAGAGACACGAUGCCAUCAACUCCGAGACGCCGCCGUGAAGGGCACCGCCGGUAUGGGAGUGAAGCUGAGGCAGAUUUAUUCGUCUGUGCGUCGCUCCCACCACCCCAACGACGCACCACGACCUACAAAUCCAAAACCUAACUACAGAGCGGAGGAACGGGGUCCCCCCUCCCUCCUGCCACCGGAGCAGCGGCUGGAGGGAGAGGGGGCCAACGCACCGGCCGGUGGAGAUCGGUGGAAGGAGAUCGCCUCCCUAGUCGCCUGGCUGUUGGCGGCGGCUAGGGUAGGGAAAGCGCUGUACGUAUUUGUUCGUGCAUCUAUUGAAUAAGUUUCCUACUCCCUCCGUUCCAAAUUACUUGUCUUAGAUCUGUCUAGAUACCGUAUCUAGACAGAUCUAAGACAAGUAAUUUGGAACGGAUGUAAAUUUUUAUUUAUUUAGAUGAAACAAGAAGAUUUGAUUAUGUUGUGAAAGUAUUUUGCUGGAAUGACUUGGGCUUACACUGAGAAUUUCUAGAGCAUGUUGUUUACACCGGGUACAUCUUAUCCAACCAAGAUCACAAUGAUUAAUUUCAUGAAAUAUGUUAUGAUUAACGGGAAUCUUAUGUCAUGAAGUUCGCCGAUUUGUUAAAGCACGUAUAUAUUUCAGCAUCACCGAACAUCAUCAUCUGUUUGUUGGCAUACAGAGAGAUCUAACAUAAAAAGCAUACAUGAUUUUUUAUACGCUGCCAUGAUUAGUUAAAGCAUGCCUACCUGCAGGUAGCUUCAAAAAUCUCAUUACUCUGCCAGCCUGAAGUACCCUUUGUAUAUCUUGCCUACCUGAGUACUGAAACGUUGAAUAGGCGCUUAAUUAUCUCUAGGCCUCAACAACAUAUUUGGCAAUAAAUUCCAUGACAUUAUAUAUAUAGAUGUACUAAUAUAAACUCAUGUUGGAAUAAGUGACCAGUAGUUGAAGUCCUUGACUGCUCUAUGCAUAUAUGUAGGACAUGUUUAAUUAAGAGUUCCAAGUACUGGUUGAAGAUGUUCUUCAUGAACAUGUCAUCUGAUUGAUUGAUUACUUUGUCUCCAACUAACGGGAAACAUCAAACGGAAUAAAACUUGUGCGCAUUAUUGUAGAAUGCAUAAUGAUAUUCUUGUCAUUAGUUGACAACGACAAUAAAGGGUAUCAACAAUUGCAACUAAUCUACUUUGUGAAGCUUCUCUUAACAAAAUGAGAAGUCAUAACUGACGCCUAAAUAAAUAUGUGUACCAUUGGCAAAGUGCACACAGAUAUCCCGCAAUAAUUUCUAUACUCAGAACCUAAGACUUGUACCUAGUUAAUUAACAGGUCAGAAGCAUGUAAGGGUAUAAUCAUUGCAUCAGAACAAAUUCAUGGGAACAAACUCCCGAGGUCAAAUUUAUUUAUUUUCUUCGGAAACAAAUUUUAGGUUGAAGAUUAUACGAUUUCAUCUUGACACUGCAAACGGCAAUUGUCAGUUAAUUAAUUCAUGUGAAGAAAUAUAUCACUUAAUAUGGACCCAGGGAAGAAAUAUGUUAAUUAAAUCAGUUUGGCUGCAAGCGAGGCUGGUUUUGUUUAGUUGGGAUGUCGGGAGCUUUGUGAAAAGGACAUGCACCGUACAUGCACCCCACCAGCCACCCCCACGCACACAAAAACCCUAAUACCCAACUAGACACAUAUUUCCAUCUAGCACAAUCCUAAUUACCAUCCACAAUACAAAAGAAAAACACUAUGCCCACCCCACCCUUAUCAUGUACCAUCCCAUUUCAGGACAAACCAAACCUACAAGCUAAAGUAGUAUGGUGGUAGGAAGCCGAAAAUGUGACGAUGGGUAAAUUGAUCAUUUCACAUGAGAGCGCUAGCUACUGUGGAUCGACCUAUUAGAUUCUUACUCGUCACAACUUACACAUAUUAACAAUCAGCGGACAUGCCCAGUUCUCUCAGCCACGAAUAAAGGGGAGAGAAACUUUAGGGAUUAUUUUGCACGCCUACCGAACGGCGCACCGCCACCUCAGUAGGGGACCAGUCCAAGUGUGCGAUAUAGAAGAGUUUAUGUGGAGUAAAGAAACGAAUAGGGACCGGUUCGCUUACACGAAUAAAAAAAGCCCUACUCCAGAGUGAAAUUUUAACGUGUACCGGGGGAUUUGAAUAUAGCCCGCGAUUUGAAUUCACAUGGGCAAUAGGGGACCAAUGGCCAGCCAGAUCAAAGCGAAAUCCGAAAAACCCCUUAGUAGGAGCAUGCUUGGGGGGUGGUGGGGGUGAGCUUAGAAGGGUGCACCUUGGAUAAAAGGCUCCCUGCUUAAUUAAUUAUUGUUGAUUAGUUUAUAGUGGCACCCAAAGUCUCUCCCCAGCCUCCAUCAACCCUCUUUAUCCUCCUCCUCCUUUCUUAUACCCACUUGCAUGCCUCCUCCUCCCUCUACACACUUCAGAGAAAGCCACAGCUCCCCAAUGCUCCUCUAGCUACCUCAUUAUCUCUCUCUCUCUCUAGCUAGCUAGCUAGACUAGAUCACAGGUGCAACUUGGUCUCCUAGAUUCAUCUUCAAGGUAUGCAAAUUGAAUAUGUGCUUGUGUUUGUGCAUUAGAUCUCCCCAAAUAUUUGUAUCCUUACAAAAAUCUCUUCCUCCUUUCUGCCCUUUUCUUAUUGUGAGAGGAGAGGGUAGAUAAAUUCAUUCAUCUUGCUGUUUUUCUUGUGUGUUCUGCUUGUGUGGAUAUGGUGGAAGGAAGCUUACAUGAUCUGUGUGUGUUUGUGUUGUGCUUGCAUGUGGUGACCGAAGACUUCAUGGCGAACCGGUGGUGGGACGGCCAUUUGGGGCUGCCGGGCGUCGCGCCGGAGCAGCCGUCCGGCUCGUCGGGCCCCAAGGUCGAGUCGCUCGCGCUCGUUGUCAAAGAUUCUGAGACCAGCCCGACGUCCGGUGGCGGCGAGCACGCGGACGAGAACAAGGACGCUGUCGGUGGCGGCGAGCCGCGCGAUCUGGGCGCGGUGGUGCCCGCCCCGAACCGGCGGCCCCGGGGCCGGCCGCCGGGGUCCAAGAACAAGCCGAAGCCGCCCAUCUUCGUGACGCGCGACAGCCCCAACGCGCUGCGCAGCCACGUGAUGGAGGUGGCCGGCGGCGCCGACGUGUGCGACGCCAUCGCGCAGUUCUCGCGCCGCCGGCAGCGGGGCGUGUGCGUGCUCAGCGGCGCCGGGACCGUGGCCAACGUGGCGCUGCGCCAGCCGUCGGCCCCCGGCGGCGCCGUGGUGGCCCUCCACGGCCGCUUCGAGAUCCUCUCGCUCACGGGGACCUUCCUCCCGGGGCCCGCGCCGCCGGGGUCCACGGGGCUCACCGUGUACCUGGCCGGCGGGCAGGGGCAGGUGGUCGGCGGCAGCGUGGUGGGCUCGCUCGUCGCCGCGGGCCCCGUCAUGGUGAUCGCGUCCACGUUCGCCAACGCCACCUACGAGCGCCUGCCGCUGGAGGACGAGGACGAGGGCUCGGGCCCGCCGAUGGCGCACGACCCGCUCAUGGCCGGCGGCGUCCACGUCCACGGGCACGGGCACGGGAUGCCCGACCCGUCGGCGGCGAUGCCGAUGUUCAACAUGCCACCGAACAACGGGCAUCUCGGCGGCGGCGGCGGCGGCGGCGACGGGUUCCCAUGGGCGCCGCACUCCCGCGCUCCCUACUGAUGGCGCGCACGGCAAUGGCGAAAUGGCGUGGUGCACUGCAUGCUGCAUGGUUACUGUUCCAUUGGAGUCACUUGGCGCCAUUAGCUAGGUUAGUACAUAUGACGAUCCAAGCUAUCUAGUGGUGAUUAAUUAGAGCGAAUUCGUACUGCUACUUAGUUUCUUAUAUGUUGUUAUGGUCAAAUAAUUUUCUAAUUUGCUGGUGUGUUUAUUGUUGUCUACUACUGAAUUAUCAACUGAGCUAGAGAUAUAGCUAGCUCUGGUCAAUUCAUGCAAUGUUUGGUUAAUUCAUCAUGGAAUUAAUGUUCAGUUCCUCAUCCAUCCGUGAUCCGUCGAUCGAUAUAUAUAUAUAUAUAUGCUUAAUUUCUCUAAAUGGUUAGGGGUGAUGAACUUCAAAAUUCAGAGCAAACUUUUGUUUGUUCUCUUGUUUGGAUUUGUUUACUGCCACUUGUUCUUCUAGUCCCUACUCCCUAGCAUGUGAUUGUUGCUAAGUUAUUCCCAAGGAACACACGCAUUCAUACAUGCAUGAUAGUAAGUUAGUAACCAGUAUAUAGCACAACACUUUUAGUACUGUGGCUAGUUUGUUGAUCAAGUAUAGUUAGUAAGUAGCUUGGUGUCAGUUGGUCCCAGAUCUCUCAUGCUGUUUCGAUCCAGUGCAAGCUCUUUACAAUGGUCCCCCAUAUUUUUUUAGUUUGAACUUAAUUUGAUUGGGUACCGCGACGAAUGCGAAGGUGCAUCUGUAGCUCGUCCGCGACGGCAAUGGAGAUCUAUAGCACAAGUGGCAAUGUCAUGUGCAUGCAUCGUUACUGUUCCAUUGGAUCAGAGAAGCAGAUAGCUCGAUGUGCGGAUUUUCACACGCAAUUAGCUAGGUUGGCGCCUAUGGUUGAUGAUCAGAUGAUGAUUAAUUAGGCUCAUGCGUAGUCGUGCCCCGUUGUUAUGGUGAAACAGAAAAUUAGUGGAAUGUUUGUGUGUUCGUUAAUCGUCUACUUAGUUAGCUGAGCUAGCCAACUAUAGAUCGAUCAUAUUGGAUAAUAACUGGAGAUAUAACUAUCUCAGUUGGAUCAAUUUCAUGCACUUUAUGUUUGGUUCCUCGUUUGUCGAUCCACAUAUAUGCUUAAUUUCUCUAAAUGGUUAGGGGUGAUGAACUGCAAAAUUCAGAGCAAACUUUUGUUUGUUCUCUUAUUUGGAUGUGUUUCUCGUUACUUGUGCUGUUCUCUAGCAUAUGGUUGUUGCUGAAUUAUCCAAAACACCAUCAUUUAUACGUGCAUGAUGUUACUACAUAACACAACACUUUUAGUGCAGUGAGUUUGUUGAUAAGUCUAGUUAGUAAGUAGCUUGGUGUCAAUUGGUCCCAGAUCUCCCACACUAUCAUCUCUGAAUGCUAGCUCUUUUUAUUGGUCCCCCAUGUUUCCGAAUUUGAACUUAAUUUUCUUGGAUACCGCAAUGAAGGUCAAGGUCAACUAGCCAAGAAAAUCUCUAGCAGCUGUGCAUCUCCGCGAUGUGGCUAUGGCAUGUGUGUGCGUGGUUACUUUUCCCUUGCAUUGGAGGAGAUAACCUGAUCGCGCCAUAUGCUAGGUUAGUACAUAUAUAUGAUCCAUGAUCAAGUGUGAAUUAAGUAGCGCUCUUGUGUACUCGCGCUACUUUGUUAUGGUGAAAUGAUAAGUGAAAAUGUUUGUGUGUUAGUAAUUGUAUGCUUAAUUGAUUUAGCUGGCUAGAUAGAGAUCGGUCAUAUUGCUAGGUCAGAUCAGUUCAUGCGUGCAAUGUUUGGUUCGUGAACUACCAUGAUUCAUGUUGAGCUGAUUUCUAGGUGGUCAAUUUUUUUUCUCUACCAUGGGGCAAGUGCGGUUCAGACUUAACUGUGUUAAGUCUCUUAACUGUGUUAAGUCCCUCCUCCCUCGUCCCUUUCUUUGAAUCUACUCCAUCCGUUCCUAAAUAUAAGUCUUUUCAGAGAUUUGAAUAUGGACUACAUACAGAUGAAUAUAGACAUACCCGUUUUGCUCCGUAUGUAGUCCAUAUUAGAAUAUCUAGAAAGACUUAUAUUUAGGAACUGAUGGAGUAUUUCCUACAAACAUGUGUUUGUGAUUAUAUAUAACUAAGUUAUUGCUUGGGACUCGUGUCCAUACAUGCAUGCUAAUUAACAAAACAGAUGAUUUUAGUGAAGAACACUUCUCUGACCCUUCGAUAGUAAAGAUUAAGUAGCUUGGCUCCGUUGGCCCCAGAUCUGAGACUGUCUCGAGUGAUCUGAUUAUUGGUCCCCCAUUUUCUCCAAACUUGAACUUUGUUAAUUUGGAUGUCGCAGAUCAAGAGGCGAAUUAAGAAAAUCCCCACCACAGGUGCAUCUACGCAAUAUUUUAGAUCUAAUAGUGUAAAUUAAGUUAGGAGAGCACUAAGUAUUAUCAGUAAACUGAAUUAUAUGUGCCCUCUAGCAAAGCAACCAUUAGUUCUUAAUAUCACUGCUGAACUUGCAUGCAAUAUGCAUGCCCAGUUAGCUCUACACAGUCCUGGACUAGUUGGCUUAUAUGCUUUUAUUGUAGUAAUAGCUUGUGUCAUUCCAAUGAAUUUGAUAGCUAAACCUUUUGGCGUUUUUUCUUGUAGAUACCAUUUGCUUAUUUUGUGUUAAUUGAAUCAAUUUUAAUUUGUCCAUCUUUGCAAGAUCUAGCUACCAAUUUAGCGAUGUUAUUACCAUGAUGUUUAUCAUCACGUUGGACUAGGUUAGUCUUCAAACAAAAUAUGCUCAACACUAAUGUGAGAGAUUUCAUGUUUUUCAAACAAGAUCUUUCGGAUCCCAUACUAUAAGGACCGACUAAUUACGAAGCUAUCAUAUACCAAAUACAUUGCAAUAUUAAUUGGGGAGGGUAGAUUAGUGUUUUGAACAUAGUUGAUGCAUGUAUGGAUCAAAUAAAACACGAUUAACCAACUAAGCUAAAUUACAGUAACAAUUGGUGUGUUGUGGUUAUUAUGCAUGGUGAUAUGAAAGAUGUCUAAUAUGGAUUUUUUAUAUAUGAGAGUACACUACUGGGGAAACCAUAGUAGCAAUGCAGGGUAAUGGCCUACCAGUAGCGCGAGGACCCGCGCUCCUGCUAGCGCGCUACGGCUAACUUUUAGCAGUAGCGAGGGGUUGAACCCUGCGUUGCUGCUACUUCUGGUAGCAGUAGCGUGGGGUAGGACCCACGCUACUGCUAGUUACCUGUAGUGCGGGCCAGGACCCAGUGAUGGUACUAAUUUUAUGUAGCAGCAGCGCGGGCCCCACGUUGUUGCUACGUUCUUACCCCGCGCUACUACUAGUUUUUCUCUAAAAAAAAUUCUUCUGGCUACACAUACAUGGUAUUUGGAGCACGGGUGCAUUGGAGUACCUUAUUUUAAAUAGUUUAAAAAUAAUAUUUAAAUUUUCAAAGAAUUCUGAAAAGAAUUCUACAUGAUCAUAUGCAUGUAUAUUACACACAUGUAAAGUUUGAUGAUGGAAUAAGUAAACAUGUGAGAUAUACUAAAAUGACAAAGUGUGAUAUCUAAGUAGUGAAUAAUACAUGCACUGUUCAUCUUUCCAAAAUCAUGAUUUUUAUCAUUUUUGUGCAACUCACAUGGUUACUUAUUUCAUCAUCAGAAUUUGCACAUGUGUAAUAUAUGUUCAUAUGAGCAUGUUACAUUUUUUUCAGAAUUUUUGAAAACUUCAAAAUACAGGUCCGACACUAUUUAAAUAUAGGGCUCACUGGAGCUCAUGCACCAAAAUGACUUUAUGUUUAUUUACUAGCAUGCAUGGCUCUUUCUUGCCAAGGUGCAACGGUGCAAAGCUAGUAUCUUUUGACAAUGAAACAAGAAUAUUAAAAAUAUAUGUUUCAGCAAUAAUUUAAGAACCUAAUUAUUUUUUAUAAAACCAUAUAUCUAAUGGUCUAACUAACUCAAGAAGCUAAAUCUACAUACAAUGGAAUCAUCAUGUUCGUCCAUACAAGACCACUGGCUGCGGAUAUUCUUCAAACUUGAUUUUUUUUCAUGUUUAUCAUGUAGGAGUUAUCAUAUUAUCCAACCGGCGAGAUGUUUUGCUCAACAGUUUAUAUUUUAUGCAUAUAUUUAUCUCUAAAAUGAUAGUAUUUAUUCAAUAAUUAACAGAGCGCUUAAAUGUGCGGUUAUUUUUCAUUUGCCUUACAAAUAACAAAAUCAUUGAUAUAAGUUGCAUGUUUUCAAGUGUUGAUCCUUUUUUUAAACUCUGAGAUUCAGCUGAUUUGUUGAGUGUAUCCUAUUUGUACUUGCCUAUGGAAAACAUGUAUUUUUUUCUUCUGCUAGAAAAAUGAACAAUGCUCCUAUAGACUAUAGUGCAUUUGAAAUACUGUGCUUGCCUUCGUCCAAAAACCUCUCGGUGAAGAUUGGUUGUGAUAUAUAGAAUGUGAUCGGGAAGGAUGAUGGUGGAGUACAAAUUGCAUGAUUUUCACCAGACAUGGAGUUUUAAACUCGAGCUCACAUGAGCUCGAUUGAACGGUAAAUCCAAAAAAAACUAUUUUUUAAACUGAUUUUUUUAGAGAAACAGCUCGAGCUCACAAUUGCACUUUCGGGCUUUCACCUUGAUACUAAUAGUCUAGUUGUUGGAGUAACUAUAUAAGACUAUGGCCAGUUAUAAUCUUAGCACACAUGCAUGGAUCGAUAGAUGUAGUCGACUGAUUGGACAUGGUAACUUAAGAAAACCAAAACAAACUACGCGGAUAGGUUAUCGAAAAACCGCCACCUUUAUUUUCUACACAUAACCACCACUAUCAGUAUCAAGGUGACCUAGAGGGCAAGGUCAUGACAUAAAGCACUGAUCCAUGGCUAAGUAUGUUUUGAUAGCGACUAUGACUUAUGGGUAUCGGGGCACACGGUGGCUACUAUAGUGCAUAACAAAAAAUUCGACCACGCAACCAAGAACAUACUGUUGGGUGUAGAUCACGGGAUCAUAUUUUACCACUGGAUACACAAUCAAGGCACCGGAAGGAAAGUAGCGAUGUGCGUCCCUAUCUCCUGCUUGUGGAUCCCUCGUACAGUUCUUCAUGGUUCCUCAAAUGGUUCGUCAGAGUGUCGUAGGUGCAACGUCUCCAAGGUAUCCGCAUGUGCAGGGAGGAACGUUGGACGUCAUACUGCUAGAUCCGAUCACAUGAUGUGAGAGCAUGGAAGUGGUGGCGGCUAGGUCAUGAGAGUGGUCAAGCCCUUUCGAGGAUAUCACCCCUCCACCGGGCCAGCACUUGUGGCCCAUUAGGAUUCCACACCCAAUUUUGAAUCAGAUCAAAACUGAAUGGUCUCCCGUUGCUUAAGCGCACGACCCCAUAGGUUCACAUACAAAUGGAGAUGACCCGAGUCGAUAGCUGGUGAUGGCUCCUGGGAGAACAUGCCAACUCUCAUGUGUGCGCAAAGUCAUAUUGAUGAACCUUGAUAAUGUGUCAUAUGCAACAUUUCUUUUGCCUCACGAUAUAUGUUGUCAAACUCAAGGCGAGUACUUGUCACCUUUGUAGGUAGAUCGACCUCUCUUCUCGUCAAAAUCGUGAUACAGAUUCCUGAACCAGGUUAACACUUAACCCAAGUCGCAUGGUUAUGCUUUUCUGAAUCUGAUCACUCGAGAGGGCUGAGUGAAUAUAUCUCCUAAUUGAAGGGGCAAAUCUCAUCUUGGUCAACCAUGCUUUGAUGCAUGUCUCACAACUCACCCAAAAGCUAUCUUUAAACUACUCAAUUAUGGAGUAGCGUUUAACAGACCCUAAGUGACUCGGUCCUCAUCCCGCGAACAUGCGAGUACCUCAAGUCCAGGACAUGGCUAUACAUUCUACAUGAAAAUAACAUAUGAUAGUAUCUCACUGUGUCAUGGGCUAUCCGACUUGAUUAUCCCUAUCCCCGAGUCCAUACUAUCGGGUUAACAUAUCUAUGCCCAUGACUUGUAAAGCAUAGUCAUCAUCUGAAUAGUCAAAAGGCAUGUGUUUGUAUAACCUUAUCAACUAGGAACCGUUCUAAGAAUCAUCAUACAACAUAUAGUUUCACAAAUAGGUCACAUACUUAUUGAUACAUAUCAGUGAUGAUGUUCAAAGACAAUACAAAUAACUCGUGAAUACAUAAGAAAAUAAUAUCGUCACAUGAUUGGCUCUAGGGCAUAAUUUUCAAUAGUGGAACCCGACUGUCAGGGCUGAGUUGAGAACUUAUGUGUACAAUAUAUAAGCCGAGGUGGACAUAGGGCCUAAUUGUCCGCUUUGCCUUCGUCUCAUAUCUCUUAUGUUUCUCCCUCCUUGUCAGAUAUCUUCCGCCGAUGUUGUGCCAUACCGAGUCCAGACCAGUGAGCCUGUUUGUAUCCCUUGGAAAAUGCGACGUAAAUAAAAGCAAGCUAGCUCCUUUUUCUAUUUCCUUGUAUUACUCCCUCAGUAAAGAAAUAUAAGAGCGUUUAGAUUGGCUAUAUGCUGGUUAUUGCGACCAAUAACCGGUAGCCCGCGUGCCUGCAAGGGCAACUCGGUGUGGUCCCCUCACUUCUUUCUCUUUUUGUUCUUCCCUUUUUAUUUUUCCUAUUCAUUUUUGGAGGUUUAUUUUCUUUUCUUCCCUUUUUUGAUUUACAUUUUUUAAAAUAUGAUAUUUUGGCCAAGACACGUGAACAUUUAAGAAAAAUAUCUGAACAUUUUAACAUAGGUGAACUCCUUUUAAAAUUACAUAAACAUUCUUUAAAAAAAUCCAUGAACACUUUCUAAAAUUACAUGAACAUUUUCUAAAGUAUAAACAAUUUUUUUAGUGAUAAACAUUUAGUAACAUGCAUAUGUUUUCAAAAAUAAAAAAGCAAUACAUGUUUUUUAGUUACAUAAUAUUUUUAUAUGCAUGGAUAUUUCUACAACACACAAACAUUCUAAUUUUUUUAUUUGUUUGAUUCUAAUUUGUAAUUUAUUAAAAUUUUCCAUUAAAAAUGAGCCUGGCUAUCAGUGUGAAAUGGGUCACAUUGAUUCCGACCAUUUUUAAGGUCGUGUGUGAUCAUGUGAAAAUGCGGUCAGGCUUUUGCUGGGCCGUCACAUCUUUUAAAAACCACGAACACUUUCUAAAAUUUGAUAACAUGAGUUAGUUAUAAGCAGUGCAUAGUGUUGGAAAAUAUUAGCACUUUUCUGAUUAGACUAAUCCACGAGUAAACAGUAAGCAUGGCAAAUACAGUAUGCAUCUCAUACCGAUUCCUAGGCAUACUAGUACGUAUAGAACAUAGAAGCAAACCAUCUAUGAGCAGCACAUACACUAGUAGAAAAAGGGUCAAACGUGAAGCACAUUAGUGCCGGUUUGUAUUAGAGACGGCACAAAUGUAUACAUUAGUGCCGGUUCCAACGGCUAGCCGGGCCGCUCUCAUUAGUACCGGUUCGUGGCUAACCUUUAGCACCGGUUCGUGCCACGAACCGGUACUAAUGAGGGUGGUGGCAGGAUGUUGUCAGUCUGGGCUCCCUCCAGCACCUUUAGUACCGGUUCGUGCCACGAACCGGUACUAUAGGUCCUCCUGCAUAUAAACCCUUCGUCCAGCUCGCUUUGUUCUUCCCCCUUUCCCCUCUCCUCUCCUCUCUAUUCUUCCUCUUCUCCCCUCGAGCUCAUCACACAUUUUGCCCAAAAUUUGUCAAGAUUUGAAGGCCCCCAUCCAUUCAAGUGAUCACAAAGGUUAGCAACUUUGUCCUUUCAUCUCUCAUUGCUAGAUUAGCUCUUGCAAUGCUUUAUAUAGUUAUUAAUUUGUGAGUUUAGUAAUUUGGGAGGAAAUAUAUAUAUGUGCUAGUAUUUGAUUUAUAUGCAAUUUGAGGUCAAAAUAACACUUAGUUUGCAUAUGUAGGUGUGGUUUACUUAGUGCCUUCUAAAUCUCCGUCGUAACCACCGUCGAUCGCCCGCACCGUCCCGUCGCCGGCACCACCUUGUGGUGAGCCUCUUGUUCAUGAAAUUUUAUAUAAAAAAAUUGAUGUUUGUGUGAUUUGGAUAUAUAGUUACUCGUAUAAUAAUUAUCUUACCCGUACGUUGUUUGUUAUACAUAGUGCCAUGGUUUUGAUAUCCAUCCCCGUCGGCUCUCGUCCUUGUUAUGAUUCGGAUGUGGUAUAUUCUCUUUUAGAACUAUUUGUUGCAUUUCGUGUUUAUGACAAAUUAUGCCCAUCAAGUUGACAUAGAUAUUUUUAUCUAGGAGGUAUGUGAACCGAAAAUUCCAACCGACCCUAUUGUCGAGAGGUUAAAUUUAGUUGAAAGAGAAAACGAGUACUUGAAAGAAAAAUUGAAAAGAAUUGAGGGGGAGAAGAUGGAAUUGGAGUUGCAUGUUGCCGAUGUCGUCGAUGAUCACAAGAUCAAGAUGGAGAAAAUGCGCUUGAAGAUUAGAAAGAUUAGAAAAUAUGCCAUCGAUAGUGAGGCUUGGUAUCAUUAUGCUGUUGGAUCAAUUGUUACCUUAGUUGCGAUCUUGAUCGCAUUUGUUGUUGCAUUUAAAUGCUUUAGCUAGAGAGUUAUUUGUUUGUUGCAUUUAAGUGUUGUAUGGACUUUAUGUAUGAACUUGUAUUAAUUUGGUCUAUUCGGUGUUGUGUAAUGAAGAUGAGCCGGCAAUGGAUGUACGAUGAUCGAUGCUCUCCCCAGUUCGUUGAGGGUGUGCAUACUUUUCUGCUUGCGGCUGAGGCAAACAAGCGGGCGGAUGGUUUUAUGCCUUGUCCAUGUGCUGGCUGUAAGAAUGGUCGCAAUUACUCUACGUCAAGAACCAUUCACGUCCACCUGUUUGAGUCCGGUUUCAUGCCCCACUAUAAUGUUUGGACCAAUCACGGAGAAAGAGGGGUUAUGAUGGAAGACAAUGAAGAAGAAGAGGACGACGACAGCUAUCCUGGCCAUGGGUUCCCUGAAUACGAUGAUACAACAAUGGGGAAAGAAGUUGAGCCGGUAAUGCGGGAAGAAUCUGAAGAAGAGGCAUCAGAUGAGCCCGUUGAUGAUCUAGGUCGGGCCAUUGCCGAUGCAAAGAGAAACUGCGCAAGUGAUUUGGAGAAGAAGAAGUUGCAGCGCAUGUUAGAGGAUCACAAAAAAUUGUUGUACCCGAAUUGCGUAGGUGACAAGAAAAGAAAAGAAAAGAAAAGAAAAACUAUAGCUGAAAAAAAAACUAUAUAAAAAAACUACUCAAAAAUAAAUAGAAGAAAAUAAAUAUAGCAGAAAAGAAAAAACUACUCAGAAAUAAAUAGAAGAAAAAAUAAAGCAGAAAAGAAAAAAAUUAUAUUUGCUAUUUUUCAAUCGUUUACAAAAUGACCGUGAAAUUUAAAAUCACUACAAAAUGAACUCUGAAAAUGUUGAAUUUUGGCAAACUAGAUGAAAAACUACUCACAAAUAAAUAGAAGAAAAUAAAUAUAACAGAAAAGAAAAAACUAUACAAAAAACUACGCAAAAAUAAAUAGAAGAAAAUAAAGCAGAAAAGAAAAAAACUAUAAAAAAAAUUGGGGCGCUGCCCUGUGGGCCUGAUAGGCCACAGGUGUGUAAUUACAGGCCUUAAAGGCCCAGCAGACUCACAGGGCAGCGCACAGAGUUUAGGCCCACCAGCCUGCUAUAUAGAGGAGUUCGAAGUGGUAGUCGGGGCUGGGUUUAUAAACCAGUGCGGCUGCCCUUCGCCCGGCGAGGUGGGACUAAACUUUGGGGUGGCAGCGCGUGGCCUUUAGUACCGGGUCGUGGAACAAACCGGCACUAAAGGGGGGGCCUUUAGUAUCGGUUUGUGCCACCACCCGGUACUAAAGGGGGUCGCCUCCCGCUGCUUGGCCUGGCCAAAACAGGCCUUUAGUACCGAUUGGUGGCUCCAACCGGUACUAAAGGGGGGUCUAUAUAUACAACACGUCCGAAAAUUUCGUUUUCCCUCUCUGUUUGUUCCUCUGUUUCCGUCUCCGUCGCCGUCGCCGCCGCCCUCGAUCGUCUCCGUCGCCGCCCCCGUCCCCGUCGCCGCCCCCGUCCCCGUCGCCGCCCCCAUCCCUGUCGCCGCCGUCGUCUCCGUCGCCGCCCCGGGCCCGCCCCCGUCCCCGUCGCCGCCCUCGUCUCCGUCGCCGCCCCCGUCCCCGCCGUCGCCGUUGUCGCCGUCGCCUUGAUGAUGGUAGGCGAUUCAGCAUCAAGCUGGAUGAGACUUUCAAAUUCGAUACAGUAAGUCAUAAAGACAAGUCUGUUUUCGUAAUUAAGCAUGACUUAUAUAUGCUUCAUUUGCCUGACUUAUAAUUUUUAAUUUUCACUAUUCUACUAGCGCAUCCCCUGCCAUGCAAGAAUUUUUGUCUUGGAUAAGAUAGGUUUCAAAGAUAUGGAAACUAUGGAGGUAAAGAGAGCUUACCUGAAAACUGAGCAUGAUGGUUAUACUUUCAACGUCAAAGUAUACAAUGCACACACGUACACCUAUUUUGAAUGCAAAACUUAGCAAGCACUAUGCAAGACUUAUGCAUUUGAGCCUGGUAUGGUUAUCACCUUUGAUAUUCGUCCGAAAGAUGAUAUUGAAGGUAAUAGAGACAUAUGGGUCGAUGUGCAGACGCCUCCAGUUCUACCAUUAUGUGAGUUCUUCUCAAAUAUAUUUUUGUCUUUGAUAUUGCUUAUUUCAAAAAUAACUGACAACUAAUUUCUAUUGACAGCUUAUCUCCAUUCAACCAAACAUGUCCGGCGCUUGGUAGACAGGACCUUCUACUAUCCCGGAGUUGAACUAAACUGCGAGGAGAUAAGUCAUUAUAUUUCAUGGCUUGAGGAUCUUCAUACUGUCAAGACAAAAAAAAUUCCUGCACUUAGAAAUGUUAGUACUCAAAAUGUGCGACCAAUAGUGAUGGUAUUGAACUACGGUCACAUCUAUUUAGGAAUGAUGGUAAGAUAUUUACUAUUUGUCCUUAGUGCAUAUUUUGCAUACAUAUUUUUUUUGCUAAACUUUCAUUGCUAAGUAUAUUAAUUAAGUACUAUACGAUGUCCUUCAACAGGGACUCCCGAUGACAGUUAUGUCUCAGGGGAUCGAGACUAAAGGUCAGAUGUCAAUUGUCAGUUUACGGCCAAGAUAUCCUGCAUUGCACAUGAAUGCAUUCAGGAUUUCUAGAAGCGAUGAAUGCUUAAUAGUGAAAGAUUGGAGGAAAAUUGUUAAUGAUCGCAGAGAAGUACUAGGGGGCAGCAAUGAGAAGCGCAGCCCACGAUUAGGAGACAGGUUCAUCGGCAUGCUCCAGUAUGAUCAAUCAGGAGAGCUAUACAUGUUCUAUGCUAUUUUACCAGAGAGAGAGUAGCUAGCAGGAGUGAUUUAACUAGUUCUUCAUGCUGCUCUUAAUUAGUACUUGUCCUUUUAUAUCCGUGUUCUUCGUUCUGAACUUAAGUGAUUUGCUUUUGUGGUGUUAUAUAUGAACGCUUAUAAUAUCAUGACAAUCAUGUUGAACUCGAUGAUUGGUUCUACUAGAAAUUCUAUUUAUAUAUAUAUAUAUAUAUAUGCAUAAUGUUUACAAUGUGUAGUAUCGUAAAAUACCAGCAAACGAAAAAGAAUUAAAAUGGAAACACAAAAUUAAAUGAAAAAGAAAUCAUAAAACUAAAAAACCCAAACCUUAUAGUACCGGUUGGUCUUACCAACCGGUACUAAAGGGCUCCAGGCCCCCGGAGCUGGCUUGUGCCACGUGGUUGCCCUUUAGCACCAGUUCGUGCUGAACCAGUACUAAAGGGGGGGGGCUUUAGUGACCACACUUUAGUGCCGGUUAUGGAACCGGCACUAAAGGGCCUUACGAACCGGUGCUAUUGCCCGGUUCUGCACUAGUGAUAUAUGGCUAGCACAAGCACGAGUAAAUGAGGGAUGAACAGAUCAUACCCUCCGGUGGCCAGGCCAACGCGGCGGCGGCGGCAACAGCCUCGGCUUUGUUCGUGGCCUUCUUCUUGGUGGCGGCAUCAUCGGACAUGGUGUUGAUGUAGGGGAAGUAGUGGAAGCAGAGGCGGACGGAGCUGGGGACAGAUCGGGAGCAGUUGCAUCGAGACGCUCCCCAAAAACCUUAUUGCCGAUCUCCCGGGCAGGAUCUCGAACGACAGGGUUCCGGAGGCACCUGCUCUCCCGACCAACCUUGCACACGGUCGUCGGGAUGGGGUCGCCGGAGACAACACAGAGCAGGGAACAGUAGAUGACGUCUAGGUUACGCGAGAGGGAGUGAGUUAACCGAGUUAGGUCACUCCAGUGGCCAGAGCCUUCUUAUAUAGUCCGUCGUGGGCUUGGGCGGAGGCCCACGACCGAGACGACACACUCCCGGGAAGGGAACUUCAUCUUCAACCCUUACACAAAUGAAUUCGUCCUGGUGUAUCUCGAUGAUAUCUUGGUGUUCUCCAAGAAUAAGAAGGACCAUGCCAAACAUUUGAGGUUGGUGCUCGACAAGCUCAGAGAGUAUCAAUUCUAUGCGAAGUUUUCCAGAUGUGAGUUUUGGCUUGAUGAAGUUCUUUAUCUUGGCCACAUCAUCUCCGCCAAGGGCAUUGCUGUUAAUCCGGAGAAGGUUUCUGCAAUUGUGAACUGGGAACCUCCUCAGAAUGUCAAGAAGCUCCGCAGUUUCCUUGGACUUGCAAGCUAUUGCCGAAGAUUCGUUGAGAAUUUCUCUAAGAUUGCAAAGCCUCUUUCCAACCUCCUCCAAAAGCAUGUCAAGUAUGUCUGGACUCUCAAAGAGAAGCUAGUCUCAGCUCCUGUCUUGCCUCCUCCUGAUGAAUCCAAGCCAUUCAAAGUUUUCUGUGAUGCCUCUUUGCAAGGUCUCGGUGCCGUGUUAAUGCAAGAGAAGAAAGUUGUGGCCUAUACCUCUCGUCAGUUGAAGCCCAACGAAAGGAACUACCCCACUCAUGAUCUUGAGUUGGCGGCAGUUGUCCAUGCAUUGAUGACAUGGAGACAUCUCUUGUUGGGAAGGCAAGUGGACAUUUUCACCGAUCACAAGAGCCUCAAAUAUAUCUUCACUCAACCCAACCUCAACCUCAGGCAAACUCGUUGGGUCAAAAUGAUUCAAGAGUACAAUCCGAGUAUUGAAUAUACUCCAUGCAAGGCUAAUGUGAUUGCAGAUGCUUUGAGCAGGAAGGCCUAUUGCAACAGCUUAAUUAUCAAGCCAUUCCAUCCUGAUCUUUGUGAAGCUUUCCGCAAACUCAACCUCCAAGUUGUUCCUCAAGGUUUUCUUGCCAACCUUCAAGUCGCUCCUACCUUGGAAGAUCAAAUCCGUGAGGCACAACUCCUUGAUGCCAUGGUGAAGAAGGUGAAACACGGUAUUGCCAAGGGCUUAUCCAAAUACAAGUGCUAUCGCAUUGAUGACAAGGACACCUUAUUCUUCGAGGAUCGGUUAGUGGUUCCUAAAGGUGAUCUAAGGAAGGUCAUAAUGAACAAAGCGCACAACUCUCUCCUUUCCAUCCGUCCAGGCAGCUCGAAGAUGUAUCACGACCUUAAGCAAUCAUUCUGGUGGACACGUAUGAAGCGAGAGAUUGCUCAAUUCAUGAAUGAAUAUGAUAUCUGCUGAAGGGUCAAAGCUGAACAUCAAUGACCGGCUGGUCUCCUCCAACCUCUUGCUAUUCUAGAAUGGAAGUUUGAUCACAUUGAGAUGGACUUUGUCACUGGAUUCCCUAAGUCCAAGCGUGGGAAUGAUGCCAUCUUCAUUGUCAUCGACAAGCUUACAAAAGCGGCUCAUUUCCUUCCAAUCAAAGAAUUUAUCACGGAAGCUAAGUUGGCAGAGCUCUACACCUCCAGAAUUGUCUCCUUGCACGGUAUUCCGCAAUUGAUCUCUUUAGACCGCGAAAGCAUUUUCACUUCUAAGUUCUGGGACUCCUUCCAGAAGGCCAUGGGCACCAACAUUCGCUUCAGCACGACUUUCCAUCCUCAAACAAGUGGCCAAGUCGAGCGAGUCAAUCAAAUCCUCGAAGACGUGCUCAGAGCUUGCGUAAUCUCUUUCGGUAUGAAGUGGGAAGAUUGUCUUCCAUAUGCCGAGUUCUCCUACAACAACAGCUUCCAAGCAAGUUUGGGCGAGGUGCUACCUCUUGAGCACUGCGUUGGAUUUCCCCGAAGAGGAGAGGAUGAUGCAGUAAAGUAGCGUAAGUAUUUUCCUCAGUUUUUGAGAACCAAGGUAUCAAUCCAGUAGGAGACCACACACAAGUCCCUUGUACCUACACAAAACGAUAGCUACUCGCAACCAACGCGAUUAGGGGUUGUCAAUCCCUUCACGGUCACUUACGAGGGUGAGAUCUGAUAGAGAUGAUAAAUGAUAUUUUUGGUAUUUUUGAUAGAUAGAUGCAAAGUGAAAAGAAAAAGGCAAAGUAAAAACAAAGCAAGUAAAUAAAGCGAUAGAGAUUGAUAUGAUGAGAUAGACCCGGGGGCCAUAGGUUUAACUAGUGGCUUCUCUCAAGAGCAUAAAUAUUCUACGGUGGGUGAAUAAAUUACUGUUGAGCAAUUGACAUAAUUGAGCAUAGUUAUGAACAUAUCUAGGCAAUGAUCAUGUAUAUAGGCAUCACGUCCAAGACAAGUAGAUCGAAACGAUUCUGCAUCUACUACUAUUCUCCACUCAUCGACCGCUAUCCAGUAUGCAUCUAGAGUAUUAAGUUAAAAACAGAGUAACGCCUUAAGCAAGAUGACAUGAUGUAGAGGGAUAAAUUCAUGCAAUAUGAUAAAAAAACCAUCUUGUUAUCCUCGAUGGCAACAAUACAAUACAUGCCUUGCAACCCUUUCUGUCACUGGGUAAGGACACCGCAAGAUCGAACCCAAAGCUAAGCACUUCUCCCAUUGCAAGAACUACCAAUCUAGUUGGCCAAACCAAACGGAUAAUUCGAAGAGACUUGCAAAGAUAACUCAAUCAUACAUAAAAGAAUUCAGGGAAGAUUCAAAUAUUUUCCAUAGAUAAUCUGGAUCAUAAACCCACAAUUCAUCGGUCUCAACAAACACACCGCAAAAAGAAGAUUACAUCGAAUAGUUCUCCACAAGAGAGGGGGAGAACAUUGUAUUGAGAUCCAAAAAGAGAGAAGAAGCCAUCUAGCUACUAGCUAUGGACCCAAAGGUUUGAAUUAAACUACUCACACUUCAUCGGAGGGGCUAUGGUGUUGAUGUAGAAGCCCUCCGUGGUAGAUGCCCCCUCCGGCGGAGCUCCGGAACAGGCUCCAAGAUGGGAUCUCAUGGAUACAGAAGGUUACGACGGUGGAAUUAGGUUUUUGGCUCCUCUUCUGAUCUGUCGGGGGUACGUAGGCAUAUAUAGGAGGAAGGAGUAUGUCGGUGGAGCAGCAGGGGGCCCACACACUACAAUAGGAACCCCCCUUCAGCAACGCAUUGAUGCGUUGUGCUAUGUCCAUAUAUGCGUUGCUAAGGUCUACACCAACGAAUUACUAUGCGUUGUCGUUGGUGGCGUUGCUAGGGUCUACAAAAACAUAUAUACAUACGUUGGUAAACAACAUAUAGAAGCAUUGUAAGGUAGCAACAGAAAGAGUUAAAGCUUAACAACAUUUCAUAUGCGUUGGUGGCUACCCUGGACAAUUAUAUAACAUAACAUUGCAAGGACUAGAGGCUUCGCUACAAAGCAUGAAUAUUGGAUGAUAUUUUACACAUUGCCAUCUAGAAAUAUUAGGUCAAUAUAGAGAGUAUAGGAGUCACAAUACAAUAAACAGGAAGGACUCGUAUUAAAUCAACUAUGUUGCAUUACAAAGAACACAAUUCAAAGAAUACAAGAUGUGAAACUAUCUAGUAGUCGCCAAAUUCUCGACCUUGCAAUCAACUAUAAUGUUCGAAACAUUGCCCUAGAAAUGACAUUCUCGGGAUCUAGUACUAGUAGUAGUCCCAUUCCCGUCCUUGAAAUCAGCAUUCGAGCCAUGCAUCAUUCAUUUAUCUUGGAAAUCUACAAAAAAAUGAGGUUAGUAGGGCAGCAAAAUGUAAAGGAGGAGCAACAUACAAAGGUUGAAGGUCAUGACAUUAGUAGCUUUGUACUGAAAGUAGAGUAAUAGCCUACAUCUCACAAACACUUUUGAUCCUUGUUUUCUUAUGAACAAAUCUACUAUAUGUCAACUGAAUUAACGUAAACCAUAAAGCAAGCAUACUAAUGUAGGAAAUUAGGUACUUCCUUUAAAUAAAUAUGUACUGACAUACAACACAUCCUCUGGUUUUAACGAAAGAUAUGUAGUUCUCCAGAAAAUACAAAUAGAUAAAGUUUCAACAAUUCAAAUAUACUUUAUGCAGAAAGAAAAUAAUUCACACUAGGCCAAACUUGGAUGUGCCUUAAUUAGGUACAGUGAUACAUGCUAACAAUUUAGACAUCUAUUUAUAUACUAGGAAAUUGUUUAGUACAAAAUUAAUAGAGGAAACUUUAGUACAAGAAGUCUAAAUCUUGACAAAAUGGGAUAUUAGCCUCUCCGAGCUACAGGACCCUUAGCAACUCCAUAUUCAAUUGUACACAUCAGUUUAGUAAAAUAUUUAGAUCAACAUAAAAUCUACAGGGAAUGCUAGAAGAUAUUAGACAUAGCGCGCGUGUACGAAGAAGUUAAUAUUUGAGAGCAAGAUGAGUACUUACACAAACUUCUCAGUAUCUUAGCUGCAGACAUCACAUGACUGUCUGACUUGGCAUCCAUCUUCUCUUUUCUAGAUUGGGCAAUCUCUCUGUAAUCUAUAAACCAAAAUAGGUUUGUGACAACAUCUUCAGUUUAUCAAAGAUGUUUUUCAUUCAAAAUAGGUUAAUAUGGUUUACUAUGCAAAGUAGGGUGUAUUACCUUGAGCAUAUGGAUGCUUAUCUGAACUCGUAACAUGAAAAAUUGGCCGAUGAAGAACAUGUGAGACAUAAAUAUUUAAUGAUCUUUGUGAAGAAUCAGAUGCUGAUUAAAGAAAGUUAGGAGCCAACACCAUGUAGAAUACUAAGAGUUCUAAUUGAGUAAUUGGAGCAAGGUGAAAUCGUACAGGGUUCUGAUUCAAGCACUGAAAUUCUUAUGGAAACAAGUCAAGAAACAACAAAACGUGUUACAGUCAUAGUAUAGCGUAGUUCCUACAUCCAGUAACUUCACCAUCUUAGAUCCUAGGGGAACACAGAACCUUACAACCAAAGAAGUCAGUACCAUAGUUUCCCCCCGCGGAGUUGGCACUGAUCGAGGGCAGCUCAAGUAGGCCGGCGUCUCCACAACAUGUGAGCACGAGGAGAAGUGCUACGACAUUGCUCGUCGUCGCUGGCUAAUUUUGUAGUGCUUGCCGGCACACCAUUCUGCAAUCAUCGCAAUGAAAAGGUCAAACCAAAACUUACACUGAACACAGCAGGCGGAUCAAUAAUUCAAGUUGACUUAGCGAUUAGUUAAUUAAGGGAGACAAUUUUUUGGUAACUCACAACCAUCCUACGGCCCUGCGUGGAUGACUGGAUGUUCAUCGCACAACAGAUCGAUCUACUACUACGAUGCGAAUGCAAUCCAACAAAUACACACAUGUUGUCUGAAGCAAGGCCGGUUUCAGAACCUGUAAAUGAAUUUAAAUUAAGGAUUAUGUACACAAUAAAGAGGAAUAUUAGGAAAUCGGUAAGGAUUCAGCCACCCACAUAGCAGCAACAACAGACUAUUGAGAUUAAAAAGAAGGACACAAGCAUUCUUCCAGAAUUACACAUAUGCACUCAACCAUACAUCCAAAUAGAUCAGCCAAAGUAUAAACAACUGGCUUGCAUUUACAGAAUUAGAUAGCACUGCACAUUGAAAGAUGUAAGCACGAAACAAAAAUACCUAAGAAUAGCACGAUGGGGCGGCUAACACUAGGUAGAAUAGAUCACAAUCGCGAUUUCCGUCAAAGGUCGACCAGCAGACGAUGGCCAUGUCACCACAAACAGAGGAGAGAAGUGGCUUACUGAACCAUCUAUGUCGAUGUCGGCGGGGUGAGGUAGCAGAGGCGGAUCAGCACCGUCGAGCCCGAGCUGCCAGCGGUGCAUAGGGAGACGCGAGGUAGAUGGCCUACCUGGGAGUCGCAUCGGCGGCCCAUGGCGGCUAGGGUUGCUACAGGGGCAUGUGCAGCGGCGCAGAGGAAGUCGCGGUUGCAGAGGAUCGGGGGAGAGGAUUGAGGGGCAGCCGGUCUGGUGAGCGACGUCCUGGAGAGCACCGGAGCUAGUACAAAUCGGCGGUGGCGGGCAGCAUCGCGUUCAUGGAGUUCAGGGGAGACAAUAAUCGAGGAGGAGGGGAGAUGGCGAAUAGGAAAAAUUGGGGGGAGAUGGGUACUGCCGUACGAGGAGGUUAGAUUUUUUUUCAUAGGAGAGGAGGUUAGCGCUUAGUAGGGGAGGGUGGGAUAAGUCGGGGAGGUGGGAGGUUAACAAACAACACAUAUUAUCGUUUCGUUGGUAGAUAUGUGUUGGUAUAGGUGGGUUCUUGUUGUAGUGCACGAGGUAGGGGGCGCGCCCAGGGGAGGCGCGCCCUCCACCCUCGUGACCGCCUCUUUUGUUCCUUGGAGCAGGGUCCAAGUCUCCUGGAUCACGUUCGGUGAGAAAAUCACGUUCCCGAAGGUUUCAUUCCGUUUGGACUCCGUUUGAUAUUUCAUUUCUUCAAAAUACUGAAAUAGGCAAAAAACAGCAAUUCUGGGCUGGGCCUCCGGUUAAUAGGUUAGUCCCAAAAAUAAUAUAAAAGUGGAAAAUAAAGCCCAAUAUAGUCCAAAACAGUAGAUAAAGUAGCAUGGAGCAAUAAAAAAUUAUAGAUACGUUGAAGACGUAUCACAAGGCCCCAUUUGAAAUUCUAUAUGGCAGAAAGUGUCGUACUCCUCUCAAUUGGUCCGAGACUGGUGAACGCCAACUUCUUGGCAACGACUGGAUCAUAGAAGCAGAAUAAAUCUGUAAAGUCAUCCGUGAAAAUCUCAAAGCCAAGCAAUCGCGCUAGAAGAGUUACUAUGACAGCAAGCACCGUGACUUGGCUUUCGAGAUCGGAGAUCAUGUCUACCUCCGCGUCUCUCCAAUGAAAGGCACUCGUCGCUUCAGUAUCAAAGGGAAGCUUGCCCCUAGAUGCAUGGGUCCUUUCAAGAUCAUUGACAAAAGAGGCGACCUCGCCUAUCAACUCGAGCUUCUGACCAACUUCGAAAAUGUGCACGAUGUGUUUCACAUGUCACAGCUUCGCAAGUGCUUCAAGACGCGUGAGCGCACUAUCAACUUCGAAUAGAUUGACCUCCAAGAAGAUAUGUCUUAUCUCGAGCAUCCCGUUGCUAUUCUCGAAGAAACCGAGCGCAAGACUCACAACAAGUCAAUCAAAUUUCUGAAAGUUAAGUGGUCGCACCAUUCCGACCGAGAAGCCACCUGGGAUAGGAUCACCUCCGUUCCAAAUAUCCGGAGUUCUUUCAGUCCAAGAUCUCGGGACGAGAUCCUCUUGUAGUGGUGGAGUGUUGUAACACCCCGGAUGUAACUUUCCAUAUUUGUAACUCCAACUCUUGCCAUUUCCGGCUAUGUGAUAUAUUAUUUUCUCCGUGGUUGGGUUUUUGUCUUUCGUUUUGCAUUUUGUUCAUGUCAUGCAUUUCAUCUCAUGUCAUCAUGUGCAUCUCAUUUGUAUUCGAGUUCGUCUCAUUCUUUAUUUAUAUUGGUGUUAAACCUACUGUAUUCCAAGUUCUCUAUGGUUCAUACCACUUAAUACUAGCCAUAGAUGCAUCAAAAUAAGCAAACAACACAUGAAAAGCAGAAUCUGUCAAAAAAAAAUAGUCUGUAGCAAUCUGUAACUAACGCAAACUUCUGGAACUCUAAAAAUCCUACCAAAUAGGAAGUCCUGGACAAUUCGUCUACUGAUCAGCGGGAAAAAGAAUCAACGCAAAAGCUCGUUUCUAUGAUUUAACAAAACUAAUUUUGUGCGCGCAAAGUUUCUGUUUUUCAGCAGAAUCAAAUUAACUAUCACCAUAGGUUAUCAUAUAGGUUCUACUUGGCACAAACACUAAUUCAAACAUAAAAACACAUCUAAACAGAAGGUAGAUGCAAAAUUUAUUACUAAACAGAAACAAAAACAAAAAACAC